UACAGAGGUGGCAAGCGUUGUUCGGAAUUACUGGGCGUAAAGGGCGCGUAGGCGGUCCUACAAGUCCCGCGUGAAAGCCCCCGGCUCAACUGGGGAACUGCGCGGGAAACUGUAGGGCUUGAGUUCGGGAGAGGGAAGCGGAAUUCCGGGUGUAGCGGUGAAAUGCGUAGAUAUCCGGAGGAACACCGGUGGCGAAGGCGGGUCUCUGGACAGUUCCUGACGCUGAGGCACGAAGGCCAGGGGAGCAAACGGG
rnacentral:rRNA from 1 species